rnacentral:lncRNA from 1 species
GCAAAGCCCACGGUGCUGCUGCUCUUUGGGAGUGGGUGGUGCUGCUGAUGGAUUUGGAUUCAAAUUCCACAUCUGCAUCUUCUGCUCACACAGGUCAAUGCAUUUUGAAGCAGAUGGAGCAGUAAUUCAUGAAAAAUAGUGUUUAGGAAAGAAAAGGAAAUGAUUUGGAAUCUGAAGUGUGGACGUGCAGAACUUUUUGGGACAGAUGUGUUAGUGACAGGAU